ensembl:lncRNA
CCCCCCCUUGCACCAUGGAUUCCCCCCCAUUUACCCUCCCAUACGUACCCCUCUGUGUUGUCGUCCCCCCCCAAAUAAACGGGAUGAAAAGCGGUUGUGUGGAAAAGGGGGCGGGGGGGGAGAUUGCUUUGCACGAGGGCUUUGCACGAGUGUGUUGCACUGGGGUUGCACAUCUCGCAUGCACACAUAGGGGUUGUGCACAAGUGCCUUGCACAAGGGUCGUGCAGUGGGUUUUGCACGAGGGCUUUGCACAGCGGGGCUUUGCACAGGGGUUGUGCACAGCAGGCUUUGCACCAGUGCGUUGCAUUGGGGGGCUUUGCACAGCGGCCGCUUUGCACGGGGG